AUUGAACGCUGGCGGCAGGCCUAACACAUGCAAGUCGAGCGGAUGAAGAGAGCUUGCUCUCUGAUUCAGCGGCGGACGGGUGAGUAAUGCCUAGGAAUCUGCCUGGUAGUGGGGGACAACGUUUCGAAAGGAACGCUAAUACCGCAUACGUCCUACGGGAGAACGUGGGGGAACUUCGGACCUCACGCUAUCAGAUGAGCCUAGGUACGAUGAGCUAGUUGGUGAGGUAAAGGCUCACCAAGGCGACGAUAGUUAACUGGUCUGAGAGGAUGAUCAGUCACACUGGAACUGAGACACGGUCCAGACUCCUACGGGAGGCAGCAGUGGGGAAUAUUGGACAAUGGGCGAAAGCCUGAUCCAGCCAUGCCGCGUGUGUGAAGAAGGUCUUCGGAUUGUAAAGCACUUUAAGUUGGGAGGAAGGGCAGUAAGUUAAUACCUUGCUGUUUUGACGUUACCGACAGAAUAAGCACCGGCUAACUUCGUGCCAGCCGCCGCAGUAA
rnacentral:rRNA from 1 species